ACUUCCCCAACAGCUGUAAAGGAGCAGUGGCGUGAGCCAGCCCCCAGCAGUAGGAAUCUUCUGAAUCCAGCAGAAAUUUGGACAAAGCCUUUGUUGGUCACUCCAGAACUGCUCUACUUUAACACGAGUGUGCUCCAGAAGAGCUGGAAGCUGUUGGGUGAGUGUUGAUCAUUGUAUCUUGAGCUAAUGAAUGGUCAUCAUUGUUCUUGUCACUCUAAGGGAGGGAGAGUUGCUCUUUUUCCUUGAACACAGGUAAACAGCACUUCAUGGGCCAAGAGAAGGGAGAAAAGAUGCUUCCUAUACCACUACAUGCAAGUAAGAUCCUCUCCACAGUCUACAGAAUCUCUGAAUGUUGCCUAUAACUUUCUACUAUCACAUCUAGCUUUCAAGUCUCUAAAUACUGGAGAACUUACAGCUGUGGCAGUGACUCUAAAAAAUAAAGAGCGCGGUUCUUCUGUGUGCUUGUUUCUUCCUCACGGCUGCAAGGAGGCAGCAGUGUACUCUGGCACUGCCACGCCGGUGUGGUGCUGGCCUCCUUCCAGGUGCCAGCAGCAUAAGGCAGUGUGCCCCGUACAGGCUGACCACCUACCAACAGAGAUAAAAGGGCCAGAAGCAAGGCAAAAGGUGCUCAUCAACAGACAGCUUGCCCUGGUGACCUGCAAGAUUGUAGAAACCUCAAUGGAAGUCUCUGCCACCCCCCUGAGCUGUGCUGGAAAUGAUGUGACAGUAGAAGGAACGACACCAGGUUACUGAAGACUGAACACCAAGAACACCACUGUCAGAGCUCCACCUCUGUGUCAAGACAGCUGACUACAAGUGGGCGGAGAUGAUGAAAGAAGAGCUUCUACGGUGUUGUCCUCCUGGUGAGGCUGCCUUUGCGAGAUGGAUUGUGCGUUCUGAAUGAUUUCAAUGGCUUCCGUGUGAUCCAUCUGUCUCAAAGCAGCACUCAGCUCUUCAAUUGUACCACCAGAAACCUAAGAGAAGAGAACAGCAGAUGCUCAGCACCACCCAGGCUAGCUAAAACCAACAGGCCGCACUGUCGCACCAUGCAGGAGGACAACGCUCAGCACACAGCAGCAUAUAAAAGCAAAAGUUAUCGUGCGCACAAAGGGGGAAGGUGCUAUUUUCAAGCACUGUUCUCAGAAAUGGCGGUGUGCUCAUCUAGUAG